rnacentral:rRNA from 1 species
AGUGGAUGGGGAGCAACCUAGUUGUGCGUGUGUAAAGGUAGUGCCAAGAAAAGCGGUGAUCAUGAUGAAAAUCAAUUCCCGGUACCCGAAACCGACACAGGUGGGCAAGUAGAGAAUACUAAGGGGCGCGAGGUAACUCUCUCCAAGGAACUCGGCAAAAUGACCCCGUAACUUAGGGAGAAGGGGUGCCACCGAGAGGUGGUCGCAGUGAAGAGGCCCAGGCGACUGUUUAGCAAAAACAUAGGUCUCUGCAAACUCGAAAGAGGAGGUAUAGGGGCUGACGCCUGCCCAGUGCCGGAAGGUUAAAGAAGUUGGUCAGUCUUAGGAUAAAGCUAGCGACUGAAGCCCCGGUGAACGGCGGCCGUAACUAUAACGGUCCUAAGGUAGCGAAAUUCCUUGUCGGGUAAGUUCCGACCCGCACGAAAGGCGUAACGAUCUGGGCGCUGUCUCGGAGAGAGGCUCGGCGAAAUAGGAUUGUCUGUGAAGAUACGGACUACCUGCAUUUGGACAGAAAGACCCUAUGAAGCUUUACUAUAGCUUGGAAUUGUGUUCGGGCUUCCUGUGCGCAGGAUAGGUGGGAGGCGAAGAAGGUAUUCUUGUGGGGAUACUGGAGCCAACGGUGAGAUACCACUCUCAGGAGGCUAGAAUUCUAACUUAAUUAAGGACAGUUUCAGGUGGGUAGUUUGACUGGGGCGGUCGCCUCCAAAAAGGUAACGGAGGCGUACAAAGGUUCCCUCAGACUGGUUGGAAAUCAGUCGCAGAGUGCAAAGGCAGAAGGGAGCUUGACUGCGAGAAGUACAGUUCGAGCAGGGUGGAAACACGGUCUUAGUGAUCCGACGGUGCUGUGUGGAAGGGCCGUCGCUCAACGGAUAAAAGUUACUCUAGGAUAACAGGCUGAUCUCCCCCAAGAGUUCACAUCGACGGGGAGGUUUGGCACCUCGAUGUCGGCUCAUCGCAACCUGGGGCGGAAGUACGUCCCAAGGGUUGGGCUGUUCGCCCAUUAAAGCGGUACGUGAGCUGGGUUCAGAACGUCGUGAGACAGUUCGGUCCAUAUCCGAUGUAGGCGUGAGAAUAUUGAGAGGAGCCUUCCUUAGUACGAGAGGACCGGGAAGGACGCACCGCUGGUGUACCUGUUAUGAUGCCAAUUGUAAACGCAGGGUAGCCAAGUGCGGAGAGGAUAACCGCUGAAAGCAUCUAAGUGGGAAGCCCACCUCAAGAUGAGUAUUCUGGUGUAAGGUCACGGGAAGACGACCCGUAAAUAGGCACGAGGUGGAGGUGCAGAGAUGUAUGAAGCCGAAGUGUACUAAUAGACCGUCGGCUUGAU